UUUCUUUUACAAUAAUGCUAGGGAACCAAGAGAGGGUCCAGCCAAAAACCUGCCAACUCUUGUUGAACUGGGACCACUAAGCCCACUUCACCUCAGUAACAUCCAAAAUUCACCCAAGUAAACAAAAUUAACCUAAUUAAACUCCCUCCUCUCUUUUCACCGUUUCACCGUAGCAGAACUCCAAAACCAUCCACGGCGGCGCCACAUUUCCAGGUCCAUCGCGUCACGUUCUCCUCCACCGUCAACGGACGCAACGCUUCAGUCCACAACCUGUGGGCAAUGGCCGGCCUCCAAAGCUCGCUCCAGAAUGCCGCAAUGCUUCCAUCUCGUCAACGUGGUCACUAGCGUGUUAAUCAAAGUCUCGCCCAUCUCUGCCGCAGCGACGUCGUGCCACCCAGGUGCGAGGAACAAAUGGGUUUUCCCCUUACCAAGACUGAGCCGCUGCUGCUGCAUGUCGCUGUUGGCAGCUUUAUUGAAGCCACGUUGCUCUGCUCCGACGAAUGCAGUAGGACGUCCCCUGCCCCAGCCUCGAAGCAUCGCUUGACAAAAAUAAUUGGUUUUAUUAAAGGAUUUGGACAUGGUGUUAUGUAACUGUUUUUUGUGAACAAGCACCAGGGUUGUGUUGCCGAAAAGCCAAUCAAGAUGGGAAAAAGAAAUUAUUAGAGUCGUGAUGCUCGCCCAGGUACAUUCAUGACAUGAUGAGCAAGCUAACUA